AUUGAACGCUGGCGGCAUGCUUUACACAUGCAAGUCGAACGGUAACAGGCCUUCGGGUGCUGACGAGUGGCGAACGGGUGAGUAAUGCAUCGGAACGUGCCCAGAGGUGGGGGAUAACGCAGCGAAAGCUGUGCUAAUACCGCAUGUGAUCUGAGGAUGAAAGCGGGGGACCAGGCAGCAAUGUUUGGCCUCGCGCCUUUGGAGCGGCCGAUGUCAGAUUAGGUAGUUGGUGGGGUAAAGGCCUACCAAGCCGACGAUCUGUAGCUGUCUGAGAGGACGACCAGCCACACUGGGACUGAGACACGGCCCAGACUCCUACGGGAGGCAGCAGUGGGGAAUUUUGGACAAUGGGCGCAAGCCUGAUCCAGCAAUGCCGCGUGCGGGAAGAAGGCCUUCGGGUUGUAAACCGCUUUUGUACGGAACGAAAAGGCUCUGGCUAAUACCUGGGGCUGAUGACGGUACCGUAAGAAUAAGCACCGGCUAACUACGUG
rnacentral:rRNA from 1 species